ACUGGUUGAUCCUGCCAGUAGUCAUAUGCUUGUCUCAGAGAUUAAGCCAUGCAUGUCUAAGUACAUACCUUAAAACGGUGAAACCGCGAAUGGCUCAUUAAAUCAGCUAUGGUUCCUUAGAUCGUAAACGCUACAUGGAUAACUGUAGUAAUUCUAGAGCUAAUACAUGCCUUGAAUCCCUGACCCGCAAGGGGACGGGUGCAUUUAUUAGAACAGAACCAACCGGGUGCGGCUUAUGCUGUGCCUGUUACAUUCUGUGAUGACUCUGGAUAACUUUACUGAUCGCAGUCGGCCUUGUGUGUCGGCGACGGAUCUUUCAAAUGUCUGCCCUAUCAAUUUGUUGGUAGGUGAUUUGCCUACCAUGAUGAUAACGGGUAACGGGGAAUCAGGGUUCGAUUCCGGAGAGGGAGCCUGAGAAAUGGCUACCACAUCCAAGGACGGCAGCAGGCGCGAAAAUUACCCACUCCCAGCACGGGGAGGUAGUGACGAAAAAUACGGAUACGGGACUCAAUUGAGGCUCCGUAAUUCGAAUGAGUACAAUUUAAAUCCUUUAACGAGGACCAAUUGGAGGGCAAGUCUGGUGCCAGCAGCCGCGGUAACUCCAGCUCCAAAAGCGUAUAUUAAAGUUGCGGCAGUUAAAAAGCUCGUAGUUGGAUCUGGGUAGUGCGAUCGCAUGCUGUUGCUUGUUCACGGUCUUGGUUACGAUCAGGGCAGUGGUCAGCUCGGCGUAGUGGUUGUGCAACCUUUCAGCCGUGUCUGUGUUUUGUUAAACAGGUGUCGAUGGGUUAAUGAGUAUUGUAUCUUAUUGACCUGUUGGCAUGCUUUCGGAUGCCUUUAAACGGGUGUCGGGGGCGGACGGCAUCUUUACUUUGAACAAAUUUGAGUGCUCAAAGCAGGCCUAUGCGCCUGAAAAUUCUUGCAUGGAAUAAUGAAAUAGGACUUCGGUUCUAUUUUGUUGGUUUUCGGAUCCGAAGUAAUGGUUAAGAGGGACAGACGGGGGCAUUUGUAUGGCGGUGUUAGAGGUGAAAUUCUGGGAUCGCCGCCAGACAAACUACAGCGAAAGCAUUUGCCAAGAAUGUUUUCAUUGAUCAGGAGCGAAAGUCAGAGUUUCGAAGACGAUCAGAUACCGUCGUAGUUCUGACCAUAAACGAUGCCAACUGACGAUCCGCGUUGGUUCUAUAAUUGACAUCGCGGGCAGUCCCCGGGAAACCUUUAAGUCUUUGGGCUCCGGGGGGAG
rnacentral:rRNA from 1 species